GUCUUUCUAGUAUUAAAAAGUAUCAGUGACUUCCAAUCACCCGGUCUUGGUUGAAGCCCAAGGAAAGACA
rnacentral:tRNA from 1 species